CUGCCUCUGUGUUUGUUUCUGUUUGUCAUCGCUGACAAAACUUGUUUGUCCUUACCCACCUAGCCUUGAGAACCCACAUCCCAGGGACUCCCAUAUUUGACUGGGGUGGUCCGUGGCAGAUGGAGCUGCAAAAUGGGACUUGAAGCAGUCCUUUCCUUCAUGUCUACAGCCAAAAGAGAUAUUUACAAGCU
rnacentral:lncRNA from 1 species